UACAGAGGUCCCAAGCGUUGUUCGGAUUCACUGGGCGUAAAGGGUGCGUAGGUGGUUGUGCAAGUCUGAUGUGAAAUCUCCGGGCUUAACCCGGAAAUGGCAUUGGAAACUGCAUAGCUAGAGGGUUGGAGGGGGGACUGGAAUACUUGGUGUAGCAGUGAAAUGCGUAGAUAUCAAGUGGAACACCAGUGGCGAAGGCGGCUCACUGGCCCGAUACUGACGCUGAGGCACGAAAGCGUGGGGAGCAAACAGG
rnacentral:rRNA from 1 species